rnacentral:misc_RNA from 1 species
CGUCUACUGUGGUCGCUGCAGCAACAGUCCGUGCUGUCAAAAGCAGAAAAAUAUUUCCUACAAGAGCAGCACUUACUUUAGUGAGUGGAUAAUUGACAUCUGUCACCAAAUGCAGUUAAAAAGAUCAAGGAGUUAUUAAAGGGCAAAGAUGAAUAUGUAGGUCUAAGAGUUGGUGUGAAACAGC